ACUCCUACGGGAGGCAGCAGUGGGGAAUUUUGGACAAUGGGCGAAAGCCUGAUCCAGCAAUGCCGCGUGUGUGAAGAAGGCCUUCGGGUUGUAAAGCACUUUUGUCCGGAAAGAAAUCCUUGGCUCUAAUACAGUCGGGGGAUGACGGUACCGGAAGAAUAAGCACCGGCUAACUAUGUGCCAGCAGCCGCGGUAAUACGUAGGGUGCGAGCGUUAAUCGGAAUUACUGGGCGUAAAGCGUGCGCAGGCGGUUUGCUAAGACCGAUGUGAAAUCCCCGGGCUCAACCUGGGAACUGCAUUGGUGACUGGCAGGCUAGAGUAUGGCAGAGGGGGGUAGAAUUCCACGUGUAGCAGUGAAAUGCGUAGAGAUGUGGAGGAAUACCGAUGGCGAAGGCAGCCCCCUGGGCCAAUACUGACGCUCAUGCACGAAAGCGUGGGGAGCAAACAGGAUUAGAAACCCCUGUAGUCCC
rnacentral:rRNA from 1 species